rnacentral:lncRNA from 1 species
AUUUUAAAGUUACCAACUGUAUUGGACAGAAGCACACCAACGUUCGCCAGAAUUCAAGGAUCCAGUGCUGGACCCUUGAAUUAUAGAUAGUUGAAUCCUUAGAGAUAGACGCAUGUUGAACUUCAAGCACUGAGAAGAGGCGAAAUUUUGUCUUUAGGACAUUGCGAAUACGCAAGCCUCUAUCUUCAAUAAAAGUCAGUAUUCUGUACUUAAUUUAUAUUUGCACAUUUAUACAGAUUUCGUACUUUUGCUACUGUUUAUAUUUUAAGAGUUGUGCAAUAAUAUAGUGAUCCUAUAGUAUAAAAUAUUUACUAAUUAUUUUCUAACACAGUGUUCACGGCCCCACUUAAUAUUUCCCCUUUCACUUUUUCAUAACAACAAUGAUCAUAUAAAACAAGCAACCCCAAGCUUAAAUCUCUGGCUUUUCUCUAUUGUUGAGAUGGGAGGUUGUUUGUUGCCCUUGUCUGUACAAAAUCCCUGCCAUUUGAUAUACAUAUAUAUUACAAGCGAUAUUGAGAAAGUGGUUUUUUUUUUAAUACAAGUGAUUAUUAGUUUUUUGACACACCAUGAAGAUUCAAAUAUGAAACUACUGAUCCGUAAGAAAAUACACUUUUUUAUUGGAUUAGACCCCGUUGGCAUCUUGCAAUUUAAUUAGUUGAGUUUCACAUAUCAAAGUUUAUUUCUAAUCACAAAAUAUUUUCAGCAUGCGAAUGUAAUGGUUUCAAGGUUUUGGUAAACUGGGACCACACUUUUUUGAACUUUGUAUUUGGGCUGCAAAAAAGUCCCCCCAAGAAUACUCCUUUUUGUUAGACAACUGAGAGAUUGAGCCCAAAUAGAAACUUAUAGCAUAUGGUAUGUUGUAAUUGGACAAAACAUGUUACUCAUUGUGUCACGUGACAAGUUAAUCUCUAUUGAAGUAGUAAACUAGUAGUGCAUGCGUUAGAGGUAUUGUAAGAUCAUAUUAAAUAUUUCCAAGAUAGAUAAUUAUGCAGGAAAUCAUUGUCCUAAUUACCCCAUCAAAUCCGAAUUUUCAUUAUCACAUUAAAUCUUAAGUCUUCUAGCACGUGCAUCACGGAUGCCAAUUAGGGGUGGACAUGAGUUGAAUUGAGUCGGUUUUGGUCCCAAUUCAUAUAUAGCGGUUUAUGAUUUAUUGGACUCAAAAUCCGCUUAUUAUUAAGCCAACCCAACCCUUUUAUGAUCGAGUUAACUCAAAAUUAAGUUAUUUUUAAAUUUUGGUUCCAACUCAUGCAUAGCGGUUUAUGAUUUCUUGGACCUAAUACUAGCUUAUUAUCAGACCAAUUCAACCCAACCCAACCAUCUAAUGAUUGAGUUGAUCCAAAAUUGUUCCCACGCCUAAUGCCAAUUGGCUUUUUAUUUAUUGAGAAAUUAUAUUUUCAUAAAUUGUUUUAUUUCUUAACAUUUUGAUUAAUUAAUGGUAUUAUUUAGAUUAUAUAUAGAUGACAUAAUAUCCUUCAACUAGUUAUCAAAUCAAUUCACCCAUAGUUUUUUGGAAUAAAAUGCACUUUUAACCGGAUGAAAUAUGCAUGGUAUAUGUACAAUGUAAAAAGAAAAGGCAAUAAUUUCAUCAACAAAAAAAGAAGAAGAAAAGGCAAUAAACUGAAAUACAUCCUCGAACUCUCCAAGCAACUUCCAUGUAAAAGGAAGAAGAAAAAAUUACAUAGAAUCUCCAUAUCGUUACAAUUAAUGGUGUUAAUAAUACUUCUUGCGACCUAAAUCUAAAUGGCAUACUCGUUCGAUAUUUACAGCAACAUUUUUUUCAAAACUUUGGGUAAGAUGAUGCACUGAUUUCAUAUACCCGUCAACGUUUUGGUCAUGUAAAAGUUGAUGAUGAAAUUGGAUGCACUGAUUUCUGUUGUGCCUCAGCCUCAAAUUUAAACAAGCAUUCUUUUCUUCUAAUUCUUUGAUCCUUUUUAAAUUGCAAGCCAUGCUCUUACCAAGAGAAGCAAGACGACAAUGCAGCCGGUCUAUCACAAAGGCAAGCAAUAGAGACAACACAAUGAGAGUGGUUUCAGGACUCAAAUGGCCCAUCAUCCCACGCUUCUGAAUCAUCACGAGAAAGAUGAUAUUCCCCACGAGUUUCAGCAUAGCGGUCCCCUAGCAGCUGCGGUUGAUCUCAUCGAGGCUCGACAUCUUCGUCUUUUUUAAAGGCGCUUCG